UACAGAGGUCCUAAGCGUUGUUCGGAUUCACUGGGCGUAAAGGGUGCGUAGGUGGUUAGGUAAGUCCGAUGUGAAAUCUCCAGGCUCAACCUGGAAAUGGCAUUGGAUACUAUUUAGCUUGAGGAGUGGAGGGGGGACUGGAAUUCUCGGUGUAGCAGUGAAAUGCGUAGAUAUCGAGAGGAACACCAGUGGCGAAGGCGAGUCCCUGGACACUUCCUGACACUGAGGCACGAAAGCUAGGGGAGCAAACAGG
rnacentral:rRNA from 1 species